UAAUAAAAAUUUCAUCUAAAUCUACUGUUAAAAAUUGACAUUGUUGGCAGAAUAACUAGACAGUUACAAGUGGCAUACCAGUGUAUCUCAUUAUGACAUUUAGGGACUAAUUUUUAACAGUUAAAAUGAAUGCAAUUUUUAACA
rfam:Gossypium hirsutum cultivar TM-1 chromosome 22, whole genome shotgun sequence